UACAGAGGGUGCGAGCGUUGUCCGGAUUUACUGGGCGUAAAGGGCGCGUAGGCGGCCUCUGCAAGUCGACUGUGAAAUCUCCGGGCUUAACCCGGAAAGGUCAGCCGAUACUGCAGGGCUAGAGUGCAGAAGGGGCAACUGGAAUUCUCGGUGUAGCGGUGAAAUGCGUAGAUAUCGAGAGGAACACCUGCGGCGAAGGCGGGUUGCUGGGCUGACACUGACGCUGAGGCGCGAAAGCUAGGGGAGCGAACGGG
rnacentral:rRNA from 1 species